rnacentral:telomerase_RNA from 1 species
CUUCGCGGGGUGUCUCUUCUAACCCUAAAUACGGGCCGCCUCCUGUACUCAUCGUUUGUUGUUUUCUCGUUUCUGGCUUUCAGCAAACUACGGGAGGUUUUGAAGUAGCGCUGGACGCGUCUCGGAACCAAAAAAAAAAAAGCCAGGACUAUCACCCUGUCGUGCUCAGUCUCCCGUCAGAAACACCGCGACCGUGGUCAGCCCGGCUGCCGCGAAGAGUUCGUCUCUGUCGCUCCGGUGUCUUCAUGGAGGGAGUCUGUUUAUCUGAGCAUAUUAAAACUGAGCAGGGUCACUCUGUCGGACCUCCAGUGGUCCGGUUAGACAGCCUGAGCUCAAACAAAC